UACGUAGGGGGCUAGCGUUGUCCGGAAUCAUUGGGCGUAAAGAGCGUGUAGGCUGCUCGGUAAGUCCGCUGUAAAAGUCAAAGGCUCAACCUUUGAAUGUCAGUGGAUACUGCCGGGCUAGAGUCCGGAAGAGGCGAGUGGAAUUCCCGGUGUAGUGGUGGAAUGCGUAGAUAUCGGGAGGAACACCAGUGGCGAAGGCGGCUUCCUGGACCGGUUCUGACACUGAGGAGCGAGAGCGUGGGGAGCGAUCCGG
rnacentral:rRNA from 1 species